CCUACGGGAGGCAGCAGUAGGGAAUUUUUCACAAUGGGCGAAAGCCUGAUGGAGCAACGCCGCGUGCAGGAUGAAGGCCUUCGGGUUGUAAACUGCUUUUAUAAGCGAGAAAUAUGAUGGUAACUUAUGAAUAAGGAUCUGCUAACUACGUGCCAGCAGCCGCGGUCAUACGUAGGAUCCGAGCAUUAUCCGGCAUGACUGGGGGUAAAGAGUUGCGUAGGUGGCAUAAUAAGUAGCUAGUGAAAUCUGGUGGCUCAACCAUUCAGACUAUUGGCUAAACUGUUAAGCUCGAGACCGUUAGGGGUAACUGGAAUUUCUAGUGUAGGAGUGAAAUCCGUAGAUAUUAGAAGGAACACCAAUAGCGUAGGCAGGUUGCUGGGACGGUUCUGACACUAAGGCACGAAAGCGUAGGGAGCAAACGGGAUUAGAUACCCCUGUAGUC
rnacentral:rRNA from 1 species